rnacentral:rRNA from 1 species
UACGUAGGGUGCGAGCGUUGUCCGGAAUUACUGGGCGUAAGGAGCUCGUAGGUGGUUUGUCGCGUCGUCUGUGAAAUUCCGGGGCUCAACCUCGGGCGUGCAGGCGAUACGGGCAUAACUUGAGUGCUGUAGGGGAGACUGGAAUUCCUGGUGUAGCGGUGAAAUGCGCAGAUAUCAGGAGGAACACCGAUGGCGAAGGCAGGUCUCUGGGCAGUAACUGACACUGAGGAGCGAAAGCAUGGGUAGCGAAUAGG